GUGGGAUCCCCCAGAUCCAGGUCCAGAUCGCCCCAAUUCAGCCCCAGAUCCCAUGGAGGGUGCAGGUGGGAUCCCCCAGAUCCAGAUCCCAAGGGAGGCGUAGGUGGGACCCCCUGAUCCCAGAUCCAGAUCCCCCAAUCCAGCCCCAGAUCCCAAGGGAGGUGCAGGUGGGAUCCCCCCGAUCCAUAUCCCAGAUCCAGAUCGCCCCAAUCCGGCCCCAGAUCCCAAGGGAGGCGCAGGUGGGACCCCCUGAUCCCAGAUCCAGAUCCCCCAGUGCAGCCCCAGAUCCCAGGGGAGGCGCAGGUGGGAUCCCCCGAUCCCAGAUCCAGAUCGCCCCAAUCCAGCCCCAGAUCCCAGGGGAGGCGCAGCUGGGCCCCGCCCGCCUGGGGCACGGGGCUCACCUGGAUCUCGCCCAGGUGAGCUCCCAGCAGGAAAAGCAGAGCUGGAGCAGACGGAGAGCAAAGCCAAACUCUUGAAACACACGGACUCGGGAUGGGGGGCAGGGGGGCAGUUCCUGGGGGCGGGAUGUGGGGUUUUGCCCCGGGCAGGGCCGGGAUGGACGGAUGGAGCCCGUCAGGAGCCCGGGCAGGUGGGACGGGGAUCAGUGCAGCCGAGGGCAGGAGCCAUAAAGUGCAGCGAAGCUUCCGGGGCUCCGGGGUUCCUGGGGGGCUCCAGUGUCCAGGGGGGGACAUGGGGACACCGUGACACCGGGGGGGACAUGGGGACACCGGGGGGGACGCGGCUCAGGAAGGACCAGCGGCGCCGGGACAGGGACGGGUCCUUUCCCGGUUCUGUUCCUGGCUCCAUUCCCGGUGCCAUUGCUGGUUUGGUUGCCAGUCCUGGUUCCGUUCCUGGUUCCUUUGCUGGUGCCAGUUCUGGUUCUGUUCCUGGUUCUGGUUCCUUUGCUGGUGCCGGUUCUGCUCCUGGUUCUAUUCCCGGUUCUGAUUCUGGUCCUGGUUCCUUUCCUGGUGUCGGCGCUGCUCCUGGUUUCAUUCCUGGUUCCGUUCCUGGUUCCUUUCCUAGUGCUGGUUCUACUCCUGGUUCCAUUCCCAGUGCUGGUUACAUUCCUGGUUCCGUUCCCAGUUCUGUUCCCAGUCCUGGUUCCUUUCCCAAUCCCAGUUCUGUUCCCAGUCCCGGUUCCAGUCCUGGUUUUGUUCCCAGGCCCGGUUCCAGUCCUGGUUCUGUUCCCAGUCCCAUUCUCGGUCCUGGUUCUGUUUCCAGGUCCGGUUCCAGUCCUGGUUCUGUUCUCAGUGCUGGUUCCGGUCCCACUUCCAUUCUCAGUCCUGCUCCCAGUUCCAGGCCCAUUCCUGGUUCCGUUCCCAGUCCCUGUUCCAUUCCCAGUCCGGUUCCAUUCCUGUUCCCAGUCCUGGUUCCGUUCCCGGUUCCGGUCCCAGUCCCAGUCCCGGUUCCGUUCCCAGUCCCGGUUCCGGUUUGGUUCCCAGUCCCGGUUUGGUUCCCAGUCCCGGUUCCGGUCCCAGUCCCGGUUCCAUUCCCAGUCCCGGUUCCGUUCCCGGUUCCGGUUCGGUUCCCAGUCCCUGGUUCCGUUCCCGGUUCCGUUCCCCGGUUCGGUUUGGUUCCCAGUCCAUUUCCAGUCCCAUUGCUGGUUCCGUUCCCGUUGCCGGUUCCGUUCCCGGUGUCUCGGAUCCCGCCGGGAAUCUCACAUGCACAUCACCUGCGGCCUGCAAUGAGGACAGGGAGGGUCACCUGCCUCUCCUGCGGCCACGCCCCCUGCCCCGCCCUGCCCGUGGCCACGCCCCCUGCCCCGCCCUGCCCACCUGUCCUCCUCGAUGCCGCCGCCCUCGGGGUCGCCGCUGUCGCCCUUCUCGGCGUCGCCCUCGCCCAGGUCCAUGUCCAGCUCGGUCCCGGUGUCCGGCCGGGUGUAGGCGUAGCCACUGUGGGAGGGAAGGGACAGAAUUCCAGGGAAUCCCCUCGGGAAUGGCCCCUGGAAUUCCAGGGAAUCCCCUCGGGAAUGGCUCUUGGAAUUUCAGGGAAUCCCCUUGGGAAUGGCCCCUGGAAUUCCAGGGAAUCCCCUCGGGAAUGGCCCCUGGAACUCUGGGAAACCUCUUGGGAAUGGCUCUUGGAACUCUGGGAAACCUGUUGGGAACGGCCCCUGGAAUUUCAGAGAAUCCCCCCAGAAGGGUCCCUGGAAUUCCGGGGAAUCCCUCUCAAGAAUAUUCCAGGGCAUCCUCUCAGGAAUGGCCCCUGGAAUUCUGGGGAACUCCCUUGGGAAUCCCCCAUAGAAUCAUGGGAAAUCCCAUCGGGAACCUCCGCCCUGCCUCCCCCAGAACUGUGGGAAAUUCCCUCAGGAAUGGCCCCUGGAAUUACAGGAAUCCCCUUGGGAAUGGCCCCUGGAAUUCUGAGGAAUCCCCUUGGGAAUGGCUCCUGA
ensembl:lncRNA